rnacentral:rRNA from 1 species
CCCUUAGAUGUUCUGGGCCGCACGCGUGCUACACUGAGUGGAUCAGCGGGUCAGGUUGCGCGAAAGCGUUUCCUAAUCUUUAAAUCCGCUCGUGAUGGGGAUUGACGGUUGCAAUUUUCUGUCAUGAACGAGGAAUACCUUGUAAGCGCGGGUCAUCAUCCCGCGCUGAAUUCGUCCCUGCCCUUUGUACACACCGCCCGUCGCUCCUACCGAUUGAGUGGUCCGGUGAGGCUUUGGGAUCUGAGCGGAAAGAGCGUUUCGCUGUUUCUGCUCGGAAAACUCAGUCGAACCUUAUCAUUUAGAGGAAGGAGAAGUCGUAACA